rnacentral:rRNA from 1 species
AGAGUUUGAUCCUGGCUCAGGAUGAACGCUGGCGGCGUGCUUAACACAUGCAAGUCGAACUAUCCUUCGGGAUAGUGGCGGACGGGUGAGUAACGCGUGGGAAUCUGCCCUCAGGAGGGGGAUAACGGCUGGAAACGGCCGCUAAUACCCCAUAUGCCGAGAGGUGAAAUGAAUUUCGCCUGAGGAUGAGCCCGCGUCUGAUUAGCUAGUUGGUGGGGUAAAGGCCUACCAAGGCAACGAUCAGUAGCUGGUCUGAGAGGAUGAUCAGCCACACUGGGACUGAGACACGGCCCAGACUCCUACGGGAGGCAGCAGUGGGGAAUUUUCCGCAAUGGGCGAAAGCCUGACGGAGCAACGCCGCGUGAGGGAUGAAGGCCUCUGGGCUGUAAACCUCUUUUCUCAAGGAAGAAGACCUGACGGUACUUGAGGAAUAAGCCACGGCUAAUUCCGUGCCAGCAGCCGCGGUAAUACGGGAGUGGCAAGCGUUAUCCGGAAUUAUUGGGCGUAAAGCGUCCGCAGGCGGCCUUGUAAGUCUGUUGUUAAAGCGUGGAGCUCAACUCCAUUUAAGCAAUGGAAACUACAAGGCUGGAGUGUGGUAGGGGCAGAGGGAAUUCCCGGUGUAGCGGUGAAAUGCGUAGAUAUCGGGAAGAACACCAGUGGCGAAGGCGCUCUGCUGGGCCAUAACUGACGCUCAUGGACGAAAGCCAGGGGAGCGAAAGGGAUUAGAUACCCCUGUAGUCCUGGCCGUAAACGAUGAACACUAGGUGUCGGGGGAAUCGACCCCCUCGGUGUCGUAGCCAACGCGUUAAGUGUUCCGCCUGGGGAGUACGCACGCAAGUGUGAAACUCAAAGGAAUUGACGGGGGCCCGCACAAGCGGUGGAGUAUGUGGUUUAAUUCGAUGCAACGCGAAGAACCUUACCAGGGUUUGACAUCCUGCGAACCCCUGAGAAAUCGGGGGGUGCCUUCGGGAGCGCAGAGACAGGUGGUGCAUGGCUGUCGUCAGCACGUGUCGUGAGAUGUUGGGUUAAGUCCCGCAACGAGCGCAACCCACGUCUUUAGUUGCCAGCAUUCAGUUGGGCACUCUAGAGGGACCGCCGGUGAUAAACCGGAGGAAGGUGUGGAUGACGUCAAGUCAUCAUGCCCCUUACAUCCUGGGCUACACACGUACUACAAUGCUACGGACAAAGGGCAGCAAGCUCGCGAGAGUUAGCAAAUCCCAUAAACCGUGGCUCAGUUCAGAUCGUAGGCUGCAACUCGCCUACGUGAAGGAGGAAUCGCUAGUAAUCGCAGGUCAGCAUACUGCGGUGAAUACGUUCCCGGGCCUUGUACACACCGCCCGUCACACCAUGGAAGUUGGCCAUGCCCGAAGUCGUUACUCCAACCCUUGUGGAGGAGGACGCCGAAGGUGGGGCUGAUGACUG